rnacentral:lncRNA from 1 species
UAUUUAUCUAUGAUUUAGUUAGGACUUAAGAUUUAAUCUAGGCUUUUGUUAGGAUUAGGAUUUGAUUUAAAACUUGACUAGGAUUUUAUUAGGAUUUAUCUAGAAUUUUAUUAGGAUUUGAUCUAAGAUUUGAUCUAAGAUUUGGUUAAGAUUUAAAUAAUAUUUUAAUUAAGAUUAAAUUAUAAUUUCUAUUUUUAUAAUUUAAAAAUAAUUCUUUAUUAU